rnacentral:snRNA from 1 species
UGCCAGCUCUACUGACAUCUGUCAUCCCAUUGACUGCCAAGGUUGAUUCAGCUGAUCUGGCUGGGUAGCUGGGUGUCCCCUUACUCCCUCACUGCUUCAUGUGUACCCUCCCAAGCUUUAUGCUCAGUCAAAGAGGACGACUGCCCCCAACAGAGGAGGACUGUUUCCUUGGUCAAGGAUGUAUGAGUAGCUGUGGUUCCUCUGCUAGAACCUCUAAACAAGUGAAACUGAUGUAAUGGUAGUGAAAUUGAUAUAAUGGUAGAAUAUGACAGUUUCCUGUGCUUCAGAUAAAUAGCUUCUUUAAAAAAAUUUUAUUUGUAUGUUUGU